AUUGAAUAGAAAUGGUGAAAGUGGACAUCCUUGUCUUGUUCCUCAUUUUAGUGGGAAAGUUUAUAGUUUUUGCCCCUUGAGUAUGAUAUUCACUGUAGGUUCUUCAUAUAUGGCCUUUAUUAUGUUGAGGAAUAGCUAACCCAUUUCCU